CAUUAAGUGUUAUUAUCUUGUGAAUAGACUUGGUCAGACAAAACAAUGGGAUGGCUAAAGCUUAGGGGAAAGCUCCACCGUGACGCAUCGGGGUCUACAUCAUUAGCAUUUCUUCAGAAACAAAGCCGAAGGAAAAAGGUCUGCUACAGCCCUUUGAAAACAGAAAGGCCAAAGAGGUGAAUGCAAGGACCUGAAAGAUGGACAUAAGACCUGUCACUCAUGAAUGCUGCAGAAAGAAGAAACCAAUAAAAAACUAUUUCUACACUUUAGCUUUUGAGCUUCCCUUUUAGAGAUCACUUAAGAAGGAAGGGGAGAAAUGGAAACUGCUCAGCAGGUUCUCCUUCUGGUAAGGAAAGUGGAACAGCAACUGCAAUGCACCAGGUUUUUCCUGCAGCAAGUAGGUAUAAAGGUAUCCAACAAAGUUUAGUUCCCUUCCUUUGAGUGAAUGGUUGAAUCAAUGGAUAUUGGGAGUCGACAGAAAGCACUUCUUCUACUUGUCACUUCACAGCUCACUCAUCCCUGGAGUAUCAUCCAUCCUCUCCAUGGAAGUCUUAUUAAACAAGAGUGCUAUUUAAUCAUCCAUGUAAACAAAUUUUAUGUAAUACAUAUGCAACAAGGGUGGAUUUAUAAAAAAUAUACCAUGAUUAGCUUUUAACUUUCCAGGGCUUGACUUUGUUCCAGUAAAUUUAAAUAUAUAAAUAAAUUCUAUGCAUUGACUAAGUUACCUCAGUGUCUACAAAAUAUUGUAAUUAUUUUUUCCCUUUCCUGUUUUUUUUUUCCCCCAGUAUGCAGAUACUCCAGCCCCCUGCCCUGAAAGACAGCACGUCCUUGCAGUACAAAAAUGCUGGACAUAGCAAGUUGAUGUUGCAACAAGGGUGGAGUGUCACAUAGUUUGUGCAUUUAACAAAACUUAAAUGUGUAGAUGACUAAUCUUAACAGAUAUUAAGACAUAUGAACUACUAUCAAGGCAAAUUCUUCUGAUGUUUGCUUAGGUUUGAAUAUCUGCAUGCGUGCUGGCAUGUAAUUUCCUAUGAAAAUGUAAUACAUAUUGUGAGUACCUAAAUAUUUUGGAAAAGUUAGGUGACUAUUUUUAAAGUACCAAGGAAAUUUAUUUUUUUUAUAAUUUCUCUGAAUUUACAUAAACAUAGUAAGUGUGUCACUUUCUGGCAUGUGUUAUUUGGAUACACCAAAAAAAAAAUCAAUAGAAGAAAAACCACUGAAAUAAUUUUUCUUUUCCAGGCCCAAAAAUCUUUUGUUAUUUUUUGGGGAGAGUCAGUGAUUAAACAGCCUGAAACACCAAUUGUGAUGAGAAAACACAUGCAUUUAAUGUACUGUUCUGCUCUUUGUAUGUGAUGUGUGUCCUACUGUUUCAUUCAUUCAUUUUGGCUUAAUCCAAAAGCUAUUGAAUUCAGUGGAAAACCACACAGUGACUUCAGUGGGGAGUAGAUCAAUCUCAAAAAACAUUUAACAGUACAGGAUAAAAACUGAUUUAAUGCUUCGUGUUAUAAAUCUCUUUUCCACAGCAGAACUUGUAGCCCUGUCUCAAUAGCACUAAACCAGAGUAUAAGAAAGGAAGAAGUAGGCAAAUUAACUUUCAGCUGGGGAGAUCUUGGCCUCUAAAAUCUCACAAUAGUAGGGUUUUUUGGGUUUUUUGUUUUGUUUUGUUUUGUUUUGGGGUUUUUUGGGGUUUUUUGUUUGUUUGUUUGGUUUUUGCGGGGGGUUUUUUGUUUGUUUGUUUUUUUGGGGUUUUGGGGGGGUUUUUGGGGGGUUUUUGGGGGAGGUUUUUGGUGUUUUUUGUUUUGUUUUGUUUUUUGCAUUGUAUCCACUAUCUACACCAUGCAGUCAUGGGCAGAGGGGCUGAGUUGGAGGUAUAGACAAUUCACAACACUGCAGCUGUGUAAAAAGAAGCAGGUUAAAAGGCAGAGAUUCAAAAAAAAGAUAGAAAUGCUCGUCAUAAUUUUUGGAGGAAAAAAGCCACUGUUGGGUAGGUUUAUGUUGCCUUAACAAUGUUGAGUCAUACAAGUUUGUUGUAUGUUCAAGAUAUUGUUCUGAAGUCAGUGUAGCUUGGUUUACAUAGCUUUAUUCACAUCUUUCACUGGGGUUUAAAUUGUUAAAGAAACUGGGUCAGAUCUCAAAUAUUUUUUCUGUUUGAUAGAUUUGAUAACACAUUGGGGGGAAAAAAGAGAGAUUAAUAUAAAUGUAUGCUGGAAAUGUUCCUUCUGCAACCUGGGCAUGUUGUGCAAAAAAAGUAGCUGUCACAGGCUAUGAGACAUUAAUAGAAUCUGAAAAUAACUAAAAAUUGAAAAAUUUUAACUUUAAUACUGUCAUAACAUGAGAAAUUAGCAGGGAUUUCUAGUUAGUACUGUUAGAUGAAUAUAACUCCACCAAUUUUAAUGAGAUCUCCAUUCACAAAUUCAGGGGAAAAUGACUGGAGAGAAACAAAAUCUCAUAGCGGUCUUAGAUCUUCUAGGAUAAUUUAAUUUCCAGAAUUUCAGCAGAGAUUGAGAAAGUAAUAUAAUCAGCUUUAAAUUCUGAGUUCAAAUACCUUUUUUUUCAGCAUUUGUUGGUUACUCAGAACAGGCAACAGGAAAGAAAAGUUUAAAAAGUAUAUCUCUCUCUGAGCAAGGUUAAGCUUCUGUUCAUGUUACUCUAAUCAAGAAAGAAACCAGAUUCUCCAAGACAAAGUGUGUUAUACUGGAGUCUGGAGCUCUGAUGGAUGAUGUUCUUCAAGGGUUGAGCCCUUCAUGGAUGGUUAUACUUUGCAUGAGUGAACUCACAGUACAAAUGACAGAGAUAAAUUGUGUGCACUCAUUCUAUCUGGACACUCCAACUCUUUGGUUCUCACUUCCAUUCCCUGCUCUUAAAGAUGCUAAAUCAAGAUCUCUUUGUGAUAGCUAUGGAGUGCUUCUAUUACAAUGGGAAUUUUAACCAAUUAAAAAGGAAAUUAAUGAGUAAACUAAUGUGGAUGAAUUCCUCCCCUCUGCUAGGCCUUUGGAGAGCAGCUGCACAGCUGCAGCUCACUCCUCCGGCAGCUCACACUGCUCCCAUCUGACUGAUCUGGCUGAUGUUUGCUUGCAUGGCAGGAAAAGUUCAAGACAAGAUUUUUGAUUCACCUGCUUUCAAACUCGUGGCACUUUUUUGUCUCCCUAGUCACAGUCUCUGGUCUUCAGGCAGUCUGUAUGACAAAUGUCUCACAGAGACUCCUUCACCUUGGGAGCCGCUGUAAUGGAAUUUGUAUGAGCCAUCUAGCACAGUCUUCAGCUAAACUUGCCUCGGGUACAGAAAGAGGGAGAAAUAAUAUAUUACCAGGGUCCACUGACAAGUAGCAGGGACAAUAGGCUGUCAGUACAAUGUAACUUACCCCAGUAAAACAUAAGACUUAUAAAUACUGCAUGUGUCUUGAAAGAAAAUGACAAAAAAAUAAUCCCAAAACAAAGCAAU